rnacentral:rRNA from 1 species
CUGGUUGAUCCUGCCAGAGGUCACUGCUAUCGGGGUUCGAUUAAGCCAUGCGAGUCGAGAGGGUUCAGACCCUCGGCGGACUGCUCAGUAACACGUGGAUAACCUGCCCUAAGGUGGAGCAUAACCCCGGGAAACUGGGGAUAAUACUCCAUAGGUUAGAGAUACUGGAAUGUUCUUUAAUCGAAAGUUCCGGCGCCUUAGGAUGGAUCUGCGGCCGAUUAGGUAGUCGUUGGGGUAACGGCCCAACAAGCCUGUAAUCGGUACGGGUUGUGGGAGCAAGAGCCCGGAGAUGGAAUCUGAGACACGAUUCCAGGCCCUACGGGGCGCAGCAGGCGCGAAAACUUUACAAUGCAGGAAACUGUGAUAAGGGAACCCCGAGUGCCCGUAUACGCGGGCUGUCCGGGUGUAUAAAAAGCAUCUGAAGAAAGGGCCGGGCAAGACCGGUGCCAGCCGCCGCGGUAAUACCGGCGGCUCGAGUGGUGACCACUUUUAUUGGGCUUAAAGCGUUCGUAGCUGGACUCUUAAGUCUCUUGGGAAAUCCCGCGGCUCAACCGUGGGGCGUUUAAGAGAUACUGGGAGUCUAGGAACCGGGAGAGGUAAGAGGUACUUCGGGGGUAGAAGUGAAAUUCUGUAAUCCUCGAGGGACCACCGAUGGCGAAGGCAUCUUACCAGAACGGCUUCGACAGUGAGGAACGAAAGCUGGGGGAGCGAACGGGAUUAGAUACCCCGGUAGUCCCAGCCGUAAACGAUGCGCGUUAGGUGUACUGGUGACCACGAGUCACUGGGGUGCCGAAGGGAAACCGUGAAACGUGCCGCCUGGGAAGUACGGUCGCAAGGCUGAAACUUAAAGGAAUUGGCGGGGGAGCACCAC